UCGGUAGCCAGAUAUGGGCCAAUCAGUACAACAGUGCCUCUAUUUAAAUUCAAGGACCCUCAUUGUGUUAUGCCAGACGUCAAAGGCCCGCCCCUUUUUACCGCCCUGACAAUUGCCAUCGCCGCAGAGUCUCCCCCUCCCUGUGCGGCAUUGGCCUCCCGCUGGCUGGAUGUGCGUCCAGUGCAGUCCCCGGGGAUCACUAUGUAGCAGGGGAGUGGCUGUCAAUUGGCUACAU